UACGUAGGGUGCAAGCGUUAAUCGGAAUUACUGGGCGUAAAGCGUGCGUAGUCGGUUACUCAAGUCGGAUGUGAAAUCCCCGGGCUCAACCUGGGAAUUGCAUUCGAAACUGAAUAGCUAGAGUUCGGCAGAGGGAAGUGGAAUUUCCGGUGUAGCGGUGAAAUGCGUAGAUAUCGGAAGGAACAUCAGUGGCGAAAGCGACUUCCUGGACCAGAACUGACGAUCAGGCACGAAAGCGUGGGGAGCAAACAGG
rnacentral:rRNA from 1 species